rnacentral:rRNA from 1 species
UGAGGAAUUUUCCGCAAUGGGCGAAAGCCUGACGGAGCAAUGCCGCGUGGAGGAUGAAAGCCCAUGGGUCGUAAACUCCUUUUCUCAGAGAAGAAUUUCUGACGGUAUCUGAGGAAUAAGCAUCGGCUAACUCCGUGCCAGCAGCCGCGGUAAGACGGGGGAUGCAAGUGUUAUCCGGAAUAAUUGGGCGUAAAGCGUCUGUAGGUGGUUUACCAAGUCUGUUGUUAAAAUCCAGGGCUUAACCCUGAUCCGGCAACAGAAACUAGUAAGCUUGAGUACGGUAGGGGCAGAGGGAAUUCUCGGUGUAGUGGUGAAAUACGUAGAUAUCGAGAAGAACACCAAUAGCGAAAGCACUCUGCUGGGCCGAAACUGACAUUGAGAGACGAAAGCUAGGGGAGCGAAA